CCUACCUAGAUAUACCCUUUACCCUGUAUUAAAUGUCAAGGGGCCACGCCUGCCUUCCAGAUGCCUGCCAGCUGCUGAGCUGCGUGGGUCCACAUCCACUCCAAAUCCUCACUUUCAGUCAUUCCUCCUGUCCAAGAACGUGAAGUCAGCUCAGCUAGUGGACAAGGGGCAGAAGUUCUGCAUGCGUUAUCACAAUAACUGCUUAUAUGGGAGAGGCACAGAUGCUACUGAAACUCUGUACCAUACUUCCUCAGCAGGGUAGGGAGAUAAUGAUCCAAAACGGAAACUUACUGUUUUCAGAAGGAAGAUGAAGUAGCAGGAGGGGUCUCAGGUGAAAGUAAAACUUCCAUCUUCAGAGGGCAGGACUGAUAGCCACACAGGGUCUAGUACUACUCUAUAAAACUGGGUUCAGAAACACUACAGAACAGAGUUGUCAUUUCAACGGUGUCAAGCAUCUGGAGCAAAAGUGAACUAUCUUUUUAAACGUGCCACAAGUAAAACUCAGAUGCUCGUGCCUUCCAUAUGACACUGCUCACACCUCACAGGAUGCUGGAGCCGAACUUACCUACAAAGGGACUAGCUGUUCAAUACUGACAGCUCUAGUUGCGGCAUGUAUUUGUCUCUAAAGAAGUUAACUUUAACUGAAUUUGAACAAUGGUACAUUCCACAGUUCUUUUUUUAUAUAACUUCUAAUUUGUGAUAUUUUGCUCCUUUGUACCAUUUAUUAAAAAGACACAAAGGCCUUAUUUUUCCACAUAACUUUAGAUAAAUGUUACUACUUACACAACAAAAAAGUCCAUUCAUAACAGACAAGAUAAACCUUUCCACAAGCCACCUCUCUAAAGACUCCAGGCUGUGGAAUAAAUACCUCAGAUAAUACAUAUUGCGACACUGAUGCCAAAGUGAGUCCAGCAAAUUCUCUUUAUCUUGAAAAGCCUCUUUUCUGACAUAACCAAGGAGUACAAUAUUUUAUUUAACCAAAUUAAGUUAUGUAGGUUACCAGUUUUUAAAGUUUUAAAAAUUAAGCAUAAUACCUAAACUAUGCCAAAUAUUCAAAAGGUACUUCAAAGUCUUACGUUUUUGCUUCAUCUUCAUCUUAAGUAUCUGUAAUCGCAAUGCCUGAAGAAAUUGUGUUAUUAAAUAUUUUUGUGGCAAAAAUGCCAUGUCAAAAUGGGUUUUCUUAUUUGAAGCCUAAACUGUGAACCCAGAGAUCCAAUUCUAUUCAUUUUUCUCUUUCACUGGCUGAGACAUCGUAAGUGCUUAAUGUCUGUGGUGUGAAUGAAAUAAGAGAAUAGAAGUUUGCAACCAAAUUUUUCAAUAAGACAAAUAAUGAACAACUCCAAAGUCACUGAUUAUAAAGAAUAUGCAAUCCAUUUGAGAUUUAUUGCAUUUAAAGAAAGCAGAUUAUUAAAACAGGUAUGAUAAAUACAGUAAGAAAAUAACUUUAAAUUUCAAACAAAACAAAGUGAAUGGGGGACAGAAUUCAGUCAAUAAUAAGCAAUGUCAAGGCAAAGUAGUAAAAUCAGUUAGUGCUUAAUUAAAGGGAGAAAAUAAAAGCAACUGGUUCUAUCUCAUAACAGUUACCCAGCUAUAUCUGAAGUUACCAUAGAAAGUACGUUUUGUAACUAUUAGAAAUAUAAUAAAGAUGUUAAUCAGGCUUAAUAAAAGUUAUUUGCUUAGUGGUACAUAAAAGGCUUCAGAAAAUUCAAGUUUAACAAAAAAUGGAAAUGUAAUCAAAGAAAGUGCACUUAAAGCUGUUUGCCAGCAAUUAAAAAGUAGUUCAUUACCAUACUGCUUACUAUAGAUGACUUUCAAUCACGAAAAGAGCUAGGAAUAAAAACAAUUCUUUCAGGAAUAGCACAAUUAGUUUUUAAUAAAAACCACCCCAAAUGAUGGCCCAUUGCAUUUUCCUGUCUACCGUAUUCUUUCAGUGGCUUUUGUAAACCCUCAUGAGGAGUGAAAGUUCUUUUAGCAAUGAUUGUGGUUGCAAUUCCAUUUAAAAUUCACAUUAACUCUACUGAAGAGACAUGUGCAUGUGUGUUUACAUAUUUCUCUUAAUAUAUAAACACCAGUGUGUAUAAAAGUUUUCAAAAUAAACUAUCAUUUAUGUUAUUCUCACAGUAAGUAUGCCAUCUCAUUCUCACAGUAAAUCUGUCAGCUCAAGAUUGAACCUAAAAUGAUGGUAAUUUUGCUUAAAAAGGAAAAAAAAAAAGUGUACUGCACGUUCUACAUGUAUGAAAACUAAUGUACCCAAACUCCUCAGGACCUGUGAUACCAAUACACAUGUACCUUCUAGCAGUGCCUGUAUGAAGUACCAAAACCUAAGAGGAGCCAAGCAGAGCAGCUGAGUAGUGAAAACUGCCCUGUCUGGUGAACACCAGAGCAGAAGAGGGGGCUCCCCUUGGUAUUCCACCAGCAAGGGCAGGGUUAAAGGGAACAUUUAUCUACAAUCCCAAUAAUGUUGUAACUGUGCCCAAAUAUGUACACACACACACACACACACACACACACACACACACACACAAGGGUCAGUGGAACAAUUACACCAUUUCCCAGGCUGAUCCUUUUGUAUAAAUAUUCUAGUCUAACUUUCAUCCAGCCUACAGCUAGCCUUUCCUCUUUCACCCAACACUUAUACCAAGCAACAUUUGCGUCUUGAUAGAUACAUUCUUCAAUGCCAUAAAAGCUAAUCUUUAACACCUAACAUUUUGCUGAAGUGAUACUAUUAAAAUAAUUGAGCAAAUGGUCCACUUUUAGAAAGAUUAUUCAAAAUCAACAAGCAUGAUUAAAGCUGUUAGGGCAGAAAUAACUUUGGCCUCGGAUUUUUGCUAGCUUCAUAUUUUACUUCCCUUAGUGAUGUUUGUUCAAGUAUUACAGGUUUAGAGUUAUAAUUAUUUAACAUGCACAAAGCACACCUGAUUGACAGGAAUAUAAUCUCAACUUUCCUUCCCUUAACAAGAAUUGGAUCACCCAUCAUAGAGCCAAACUUCCCCUGCGUGCAGUGUGCCAAGUGUGUGCCAAUCUUUUUCACAUGCUUUGGGAGUUUUAUUUCUGUAAUUCUCACAAGGGAAUGAGCUGGGUGUCAGCUGUGUGGAGCUGUGUGUAUAUCCCAACAGCAGUGGGAGAGAUGACUGGAAAUGGAAAGCAACCCUCAUCCUGUGCUGCUGCGGGGAAUGCUCUACUCCUCCAACAAGAACCCCCCCCCUCCUCCUCCUCCCUCUCCUCCAUUGAAUCCUGUGCUUCCUCUGAACUAUAAUCUGUAGAGGAGAGUCACUGGGCUGUGACAUAAGAAAUUUAAAAAUGUAAAUAUUUUAAACAAUGUCAAAGUUGUUUCUUUAGAAUUUAUCCACAUUAUAACCCAGAGUCCAAGUCACUUAAACAUAUUCAAUGUAUUGAUACACAAUCCUGGGCAUGUGCCCUGCCCAGGAAUCAAACCAUGACCUCCUGGUUCAUAGAUCAACACAACCACUUAGCCACCUGGGCUGGGCUGGGCUGGGCUAGAACAAAAGCAAAUGUAAGCAAGGCCUUAGUACCAAAGAGAGUCUAGUUCAUGUUUACAUCCCAUGGAGACCACACUAAUUCAUCCACCACCUCUUCUAAAUCACAGAACUCCUGAGGUCUAGCAGAGACCAAGGCCAAGGACUAAAACAGUCAAAAAAGCGUACUGUGUACACAUCAACCAACAGAUUUUCAUUUUAAAAAUUUUCUUCUGUUUGAUACAAACCUACUGUAGUUCAUGAAUUUACUGUAUAUAAUCAUCAACUCACUUUUAAAAUAAAGUAUCCGUGAAUCUACUUUGUAAAUUUUUAAAGAACAUCUACUUAAACAUGUGCAUUAGCAGUACUAUUCAACCUGAGAAUCAGAAAGAAAGAAAAAAAAAAAAGGUGCAAACAUAGUAUUUGCCUUUGGCACACACAGGACAAGUAUGGUAAUCGGGCUCCAAAGUGCAGCACUUAAGCAGUGAUGUGAUGCUUGAUCUGCCUCUGCUAACUGUGACUCACACAUUGCUUCCCUAUCAGUCCACAAAUUUGUUUCUGCUU